GCCCAGGUGGCUCAGUGGUUGAGCAUCUGCCUUCAGCUCAGGUUGUGACCCUGGGGUCCUGGGAUCGAGUCCCACAUCUAGGCU
rfam:Canis lupus familiaris chromosome 2, whole genome shotgun sequence.